rnacentral:rRNA from 1 species
GAGCGGCGGACGGGUGAGUAACACGUGGGUAACCUGCCCGAGAGACUGGGAUAACACCUGGAAACAGAUGCUAAUACCGGAUAACAACACUAGACGCAUGUCUAGAGUUUGAAAGAUGGUUCUGCUAUCACUCUUGGAUGGACCUGCGGUGCAUUAGCUAGUUGGUAAGGUAACGGCUUACCAAGGCAAUGAUGCAUAGCCGAGUUGAGAGACUGAUCGGCCACAUUGGGACUGAGACACGGCCCAAACUCCUACGGGAGGCAGCAGUAGGGAAUCUUCCACAAUGGACGAAAGUCUGAUGGAGCAACGCCGCGUGAGUGAAGAAGGGUUUCGGCUCGUAAAGCUCUGUUGGUAGUGAAGAAAGAUAGAGGUAGUAACUGGCCUUUAUUUGACGGUAAUUACUUAGAAAGUCACGGCUAACUACGUGCCAGCAGCCGCGGUAAUACGUAGGUGGCAAGCGUUGUCCGGAUUUAUUGGGCGUAAAGCGAGUGCAGGCGGUUCAAUAAGUCUGAUGUGAAAGCCUUCGGCUCAACCGGAGAAUUGCAUCAGAAACUGUUGAACUUGAGUGCAGAAGAGGAGAGUGGAACUCCAUGUGUAGCGGUGGAAUGCGUAGAUAUAUGGAAGAACACCAGUGGCGAAGGCGGCUCUCUGGUCUGCAACUGACGCUGAGGCUCGAAAGCAUGGGUAGC